rnacentral:misc_RNA from 1 species
GAUGAAGAACGCAGCGAAAUGCGAUAAGUACUGUGAAUUGCAGAAUUCAGUGAAUCAUCGAAUCUUUGAACGCACAUUGCGCCCCCUGGUAUUCCGGGGGGCAUGCCUGUUCGAGCGUCAUUUCAACCCUCAAGCUCUGCUUGGUAUUGAGUCCAUGUCAGCAAUGGCAGGCUCCAAAAUCAGUGGCGGCGCCGCUGGGUCCUGAACGUAGUAAUAUCUCUCGUUACAGGUGCUCGGCGUGCUUCUGCCAAAACCCCAAUUUUUCUAUGGUUGACCUCGGAUCAGGUAGGGAUACCCGCUGAACUUAAGCAUAUCAAUAAGCGGAGGA